UACGUAGGGGGCUAGCGUUGUCCGGAAUCAUUGGGCGUAAAGCGCGCGUAGGCGGCCAGAUAAGUCCGGUGUGAAAGCCACAGGCUCAACCUGUGAAUGCCGCUGGAAACUGUCUGGCUAGAGUCCGGGAGGGGCGAGUGGAAUUCCUGGUGGUAGCGGUGAAAUGCGCAGAUAUCAGGAGGAACACCAAUGGCGAAGGCAGCUCGCUGGAACGGAACUGACGCUGAGGCGCGAAAGCGUGGGGAGCGAACAGG
rnacentral:rRNA from 1 species